GUGCGGAAACAGGAAAGAAGGAUCUGUCUGCAAACCAGGAAGUCUUGGUAGUUCUUACGAGGAACUGAGUCAGCCAGUACCCUGAUCUUGGACUUCUAGCUUCCAGAACUGUGAGAAACGAGCAUGUUUGUUUGACAUUUAUUCUAGCAGCCUGGACUGAGGCAGCAGAUGAUCAAGUUAAAAUAAGGUCACUAGGCUGGGCCCUAAUCCAGUAUCAUUGGCAUCCCUAUCAAAAGGGAACAUUUAUUCACAGAGACCGACAUGCACACAGGAGGAACACCCUGAGAAAUUGGAGUUCUGCUGCCGCAAGCAAAGGGACCACGGAAGCCGGUAGAGAAGUCGGGAAUCCUUCCUUCCCUAGCGCCUUCCUGCAGAGGCAGUGUGGCCCAACGGCCUUGAAACUGGAUUUCCAGCCACCAGAAUGGUGAGAGGACCCUGGUGAUCCUUACAAGAGCAUUUCAGGGCCAGGUGUGGUGGCUCGCGCCUAUAAUCCCAGCACUUUGGGAGGCUGAGGUGGGCAGAUCACUGGAGGUAAGGAGUUUGAGACCAGCCUGGGCAACAUGGCGAAACCCUGUGUCUACUAAAAAUACAAAGAUUAGCCAGGUGUGGUGGUGCACACCUGUUGUCCCAGCUGCUUGGGAGGCUGAGGUGAGAGGACCGCUUGAGCCUGGGAGGUGGAGGUUGCAGUGAGCUGUGAUGGCACCACCGCACUCCAGCCUGGGCAACACGGUGAUGCCGUGUCUCCAAAAAAAAAAAAAAAAAGAGCAUUUCAGCUCCUGCAGAGGUGGAGGUGGAAGAAAUCUCAAAUGCAGGUGUCUUUGGGAUUACCUGAGACAUCCAAGAUUAGAGUAAGCUGGAAACAUGAGAAGAAACCAGGUAGACGUCACCCCAGUAUCUGUAAGCACACUGUGCAGCCAGGCAGGGAGAACUCGGGGAAGGUUCGGAACAGGAUGGAGUAGUGAACACAUCUGUUGUAUCCCACUGGGGUGAAGCAACCUUGCAGAGAGGGUUCAACCUCACACUGGAAUUAGCUAACAUGAGACGCAGAUCCAAAGCAGAUGGAUUGGAGUGUGUGGACUCGGAGGCCCCUCCCAUGGAUACUCUAGGAGAGCCUGAGUGAACUGGUGAGAACAACCACCCUGGUAUUUAGGGGCUCAGAUCAUAUGUUCCGGCCAGAAAUUUUGUUCAGCCACCAAUUCCGGCCCAUCGAAGAGAAAAUCCCAGUGAUGAAGAGACAGUGGCUCCCAAUUUGCUUGAGAAGGUAGCCUCAGCUUGCCGGAGUGGAUAAAACCAUUUUCUUAGUAAGUCUAGAAUCCAGAAGGGUGAAUAAUUGAAAAUAGUGGCGAUAAACUGUGUUCAUUAAUGUUUUUGGUAUAAAGCGUAGAAAUUAUGGGGAGAUAUUUUGUAUGUAAAGUGUUUAUAAUACUUAAGGUAAUUUAUCACAUUAGUUUAGAGAUGAGCCUUGUGAUUUUAGCUAAAACAGGCAUUUAAAAAUCGAUUUCAGGUUUUUUUGAUUUGAAGUUGAAAAGUAUAAGAAAAUUUACUUAACACUAAACAAGAUUGGAAUGUUUAAGAGAACUUGAGAGUCCUCAGUAAGUUUUAUUUGUGAGAUUUACUAGGGCUGUUUAAGUAUUUGCAAGAGCUUUCCAUGUUAAUUAGGUGUGUAUAUUGCUUAAAAAGAAGCUGAAUAUAUUAAAUUUAUGAACAUGUCUUGAGAUAUUUAAAGGAAUAUAAUUCACUAAUGUAUUAAUACUUCCUCUUAAAAUUGCAUUAAGGUACUAUAUUUAUGAAUAGAGUAGUAAAUUUUUUCAAUUGAACUUGAAAGCUUUGGUAGAAAGAUAGUUUUUGUAAUGUUUGCUUUGAUACAGUGAACAUUAAAAAGAACAAA
rnacentral:lncRNA from 1 species